rnacentral:lncRNA from 1 species
UUAUUUAUGAUUUUUCUAUUUAAUAACCGGAUUACGGUUCAAACUGCAUAUGACACACAUUUUUUUGUAUUUUGUUUCAAUAAUAAUAAAAAUGGACAAAAAUCAUAGAUAAUUAACAAAAUGCCACGUGAAAGAUCCGAAAAUUGUACAGCAAGACCGAUCGCUAUUAUUUUUGUUUCUUUUGGAGCGAUUGUCGCGUAAAACAAAAAUCACGUGCUCACAGGCCAAAAAGUCAUAACCCAGGCCCGCACUUUGGAACCCAACAAAACUCACAAAAUCUGAUAACUCAUUCAAUUACGAGUCCAACCAUACAAGUUUUACUCAAAUCUGACUUCAAAUCGAUAUUCAAAACUCAAAAAUUGACAUUAUGAAACUUUAGGCAAAACCCCCCAAUUUUCUCUUUAAAUUCACAAACCAAUUACCAAAAACGAAGAUGGAUUUACGAAAUAUAACCAAAAAUUAGUGAAAAUCGCCUCAAAAUAUGCCCGAUUCUGAACUUCCCAACUCAAAAUAUGUUAUAUGAAUAAAACCUUCAUUUUAAUACUGUUCUGCCUCGUUUCGUGUGUCAAAUAAUCUCCAAACUCGCUUUUGAUGCCUCCAUUGGGUUCCUUGUGAAAUUAUAGUCAAGUUAGUCUCUUGAAUCACUCCAUUUGACCUUGUAUUGAAAGAGAUAUGUUGGUUUCAUUAUUUAAAAAUAGUGCAGAUUUUUAAAUAUGAUGUCAGUUGCAAUUUUGUAAUUAAUCUGAAAAAUCUGGCAACCCAAUUCUUGGUAAAAUGAUCAUAAACUCCUCAUACGAUGUCCAAAUUUGACGAUUCUUUUUUAUAUGGCUCCGUAAUUACGAUACGGAUCUAAUGCUUCAAUAAAAGCAGAAAUUGGAGCUUAUUUGCUUAAUGUAGCACCAUUUAUGCUUGAAUAAACGACGUCGAAACAUUAAAAACGAGUGCAACACAACCCAAAUCUAUUUGAAACUCACCCAAGCCCCUCGGGACCCUAUCCGAACAUACCAACAAGUUCCAUAAACUAAUAGGGACCUACUCGAGGCCUCAAAUCACGCAUAUAAACAUCGAAAUGACGAAUCACACUCCAAAUCAAACUUAAUGAACUUUUCCAAACCAUCAAAUUCCAAUUUUCGCCAAUUAGUGCCGAAUCCUUCUAGAAAUAUCCAAUUGCAAAUCCGAAAAUACGACCGAAUCCAAAAUCACCAUCCAGAUCUAAUAAAACCAUCAAAACUCCAAUCUGAGAUGAAAUGCUAAAAAGUCCAACUUGGUCAGCUCUCCCAACUUAAAACUUCUAUCAUGCAGUUCAUUCUUUCAAAUCGAUACUGAACAACCUGAAAACCAAAAUCGAUGAUUCACAAAAGUCAUAAUACAUUAUGCGGAGAUAUUCGUGCCCUCAAAUUACCGAGCAAAGUUCAAAUGCUCAAAACGACUGGUCGGGUUGUUAUAGUGAAAGCUGAUCCAAAGAAACAACAUAGCUAAACGGGUAGCAUCAGUGAUACAACAAUUUUCAGCUUAACCAAUUUAGAAAACCCAGAGAAUCAGCAGCAGCUAAGUAUAACUUAGAAAAAAUAGUUUUAAUCUCUUUUUGUGACUGUUUUUGUUUUUCAAAUAUGGGAAAUUAAAAUUUCUAGAAGUUGAUAGGAGUAGAGUAUUUUGCAAAUGCGUGAGAAUGAAUCAAUCAGUUAGUGUGAAUGUGUUGGGUGUCCUUUUAUAACAGAAUUCACCAUUUUUUCUGUUGUUUCCUUUUCCUUCUAUUUUCGGUUUCUUACCUCCCAUCUUCUGUUUAUUACUCUAAAGUCUCUAACAAAGAUCCCUUUCCUCUUCUCUUUUGCUAAGUAGUCUUUAAGACCCCCUUUCUAGAAACUUCAUAAAUAAUUGACUCAAAAAAUUCUCUCAAAAUUUAUCCCUGAACUAACUCUUAAUCUUUCAGUGAUUUCUAGAGUUAACUCAACUGCCAAUAUGAAUUAAAAUUAACUACAACCUAAGAACAAUAACUAAUUACUAAUGAUAAAACAACAAAAGAAUUCGAACAGGCCAACUCAUGAUAUCAACUAAAUGGCUAAAGAUGAAAUCAAACUAACUGAAGAAUGCCCUUAAUUUCUAAUGCUAUUUGAUCAAAGAUUAAACAUGUGAUUGUUCAACUACGAAUCAAAGCAAACAACACUCAUAAAAAUGAAAACAAAAUGAAUGAAACAGAGGGAAACAGUACCUAUUAGAUUAACACAAGCGGCCAACAAAAAUUUUGGUGAGCCGGGGGAAUUAUUAAACUUGCACUAACCGAAAUUAUUUUACGCCGGCCAGUUCUAUAUGUAGAAAUACCUUUCGCUAGGUCGGAGGAGAUGAUGCAAGGUGAUGAGGGGAACUGGACGAUCAACCAGGGUUUGAUAGGAUUCUAGCAGCCACAAAAUGGGAUAAGACUAACACGAAUUGACAGCACUCAUCAAGAUACAUCGAUUGGUGUGAGUUUUAACUUCAUUCGGGCAAAGAUUAAAGAGAAAGAAAGGUGAAGUUUUAGGUUUUGGUCCGAUUCUAGAUCUACUAAAUGAAAAUAUUGGAAGGGAUUUCUGGAAAACUAAUAAUGGAUUUGAAAUGAGGAAAGGCUGGUGAUUGCAGGGUAAUGAUUUGGAGUUGUUUGGAGGUGGCCCCCCGACGUGAGAUGAUUUUCGGCGGGCGGUGGAGAGAGAUGGAGGGGAAAUGGGGGUUAGAGAGAGUCCUGUGGGGUGGGGUAGGCCGGGUUGGGACAGCUUUAUGUGGAUGGGAGAUCAU